UUGCACAGUGAACACCCAAGUGUGCUUUAUAGUAUCCUUGGUUUUAAUUUUUGCUACAGAAAUUUCUGUUCUUUACCUCUUCAUUGAAAGAACUAUCGUUUUAAUUGUAUUCACAAAGUCAGCACAUUA